AGCCAUUCUAGAAGGAUCAACGGCUGUAACUGACAGGUUCCAACUUCUAUGCUUAUCAACAUAGAUCAAGCUGAGAACCCAGAGGAACAAACGAGGCUCAUGAACCAGAGACCUGAGCUGAUUUCUUGGUUAUUCUAGAUUGCUCUUUGGGAGAUUUCAGUCCAUGCGCCCUUCAGGUAAAUCACAUGUCCUGAGUGUCCUGGCCACUGUCACAGACUCCACAGACCAAUGGACCCUGCGAUCCCUAUGUUUUGUUGACCCAGUAAGAUCCCAGCUACUCUUGAUGGAAGCCAGUGGUGAUAAAAGUGAAUUCAGCUUCUUUGGUUUCGUUUGGUUUCCUGUCCUACUGUGAAGCAUCGAGAAGGCCAUUACUAGAGAACAGACUUCGAGGACUCCAGAAUCACAA